CGAGAAUACGGCCAAACUUGAAAAGACUUUGGUGUUGCUGUCUGGUUAGGCUGAGCAGGAGUUCACAGCUAAGAGUUUGCCUUGAGCCUCAGAAGAGACUUUGGACUUGGAGUAUUCAGCACUGCUAAAACUGUUAAAAUUUUAACAAUUCUUAGAGGGAUGGACUAAAUGUAUUUUGCAUAAUGAGAUAUGAUUGUGCAGCCCUUAUAUGAAGACCUAGACCGAAAGAAAUCAGAAUGUGAGGCCUGAGAAGACUUUCCCAAGGUUGGCUAUAUGAGGGGUGGGCGCUGCCUGUCUCAGGAGACGUCCUUGGUACCAGCAUCUUUUUCUUCAGACCUGCCAUCUGUUCCAGUGAAUAAUUCUACCAACCACGUUUUCCAUGAUUUGCCUCAUUAUGUCUCCACGUCCUUUACACACAUAGAACAUGAUGUCUGGCACACUGAAUAAGCUGUCUACUAGACAUUAUGGCAACAUGUAAUCAACAAGGUCAACCUGAGAAACAGUAGUGGAAUGGAGGGUCAGAAAGAUGGCUUUGCUCCUAAGAUGCAGAUCCUUGAUCCUUCGACCAUCUCUAGCCCUUGCUGAGCACAGCUGUAUAAAGAUUUGAGGGGGAUCAAACUCAGAACCUUGCACUCGUGAGGCAGGCGACAGCACCACUGAGGUAGGCUUACAAUGGCUGCCUGAAGAGUCAGAUGUGGAAGAAUGCAAAGGGAUGUCUGCAUGUUGGAGAUCCAAGGAUCCACUCAAAAGUCAAAAGCCUGGAAAUCACUACAGAGUCCUGCGUGAGUCCAUAUCAGGAAGCAGAAGAGCCUGCACUAGAAGUCUGGAGAUGAAUGUUCAAAGAUGAUGGUGAAGAUGAGCUCCUCCAAAGAAGCUGAAGCCAUACCUCCUCCUCUUCAUUUUUAUUUCAUCCAGGUUUCAAGCCUAUUGGCUGGUGCCACCAACACCCAGUGUGGGUCUUCUCUCUUUAGUAACUCCAUUAUCCAGACACACCCAGAACUAUGCUAAGCCAAUCAGCCAGAUACUUUUUUAUUCAAGUUGACACCACAAUUAACUAUCACAUCUUGGGAUCAAGGCAACCUGUGAGCUUAUGUGAUGGACUAUAUUCAGGGAACUAAUCCUUUGUUCAAAAGAAGGGAUAUAGGCUUUUCCUCUUUUAUUUUUACUUUCUUGAGAGAAAAAGGUAAAAUUACUAAUCAAUUUUCAAAGUUUGACAAAACAUUGUGACAAAAACAUUGUGUUCACAGACUCAAUAUGCAGCAGCUUGUCAUUUUAUUUUUUUUCCAAUUUUUUAUUAGGACAUGUUUGCCCACUCAGUUCAAACACCUCAGUGUAUUAAAAGCCCCCAGGAUCAAAACUACUUCAGUUUAGAGACUAUACUGCUAUUCAUGAAGAAAUGCAUUUUUCAUGUUUUUUUUUUUCCUGGAAAAAAAUC
rnacentral:lncRNA from 1 species